CUCAAAAAAUUCUUUCGCUUUUCACUUCAAACUUUUUUUUAAUAAGAUAUUACUAUCACACAGUGUUUUGAAUUCUAUAAGUUCCUGUAAGCGUAUACAUUAAAUCUGAACUGGACCUUCCUUUCAGCUACUUAUGAGCCAAGGCCUGUUCCGUCAGAACCUAAAGAACACGAGUCUAUCAUGCCAGAAGUACCAGAGAGGAAACCUGUUGCAACUGAGGCUGAUAGUUAUCUUCCUGAAAUAUUGAGCACACCAGAACUCCCAAUUAGCAGACCUGCUUCUUAUGAACCAAGCCCUGUUCCGACAAAACCUAAAGAACAUGAAUCUAUCAUGCCAGAAGUACCAGAGAGGAAACCUGGUAGAGUGACUUUUUUCAAUACUUCUUUCUGCUUUUUGCAAGAUAAUAUCUUGACUCUCUUCUAAUGGCAAAAUGUAUAAUUUCUAAAUCUAUUCACCCAUUCAUGGAUAUGGCACAAGAUUGAAACUGCCCCUUAAUAGAACAGGAUUAAAGGAGACUUUCCCAUCUCGAGACAUCCCA